rnacentral:rRNA from 1 species
GUCCAAUAAGCGGAGGAAAAGAAACCAACAGGGAUUGCCUCAGUACCGGCGAGUGAAGCGGCAACAGCUCAAAUUUGAAAGCUGCCAACAGGCCGCGUUGUAAUUUGUAGAAGCUGCUUUGGGUGUCGGCCCGGUCUAAGUUCCUUGGAACAGGACGUCAUAGAGGGUGAGAAUCCCGUAUGUGAUCGGUGCCGGUGCCCGUGUAAAGCGCUUUCGACGAGUCGAGUUGUUUGGGAAUGCAGCUCAAAAUGGGUGGUAAAUUUSAUCUAAAGCUAAAUAUUGGCCAGAGACCGAUAGCGCACAAGUAGAGUGAUCGAAAGAUGAAAAGCACUUUGUGAAAKAUCAGUUAAACAGUANGUCAAAUUGUUGAAAGGGAAGCGCUUGCAACCAGACUUCNGGGYGGUCGAUCAUCUUAUGUUANAUACGGACCAUCUUGGUCAUUUAGARGAAGUAACCCGUCUUGAAACACGGACCAUCUUGGUCAUUUAGAGGAAGUAACCCGUCUUGAAACACGGACCAUCUUGGUCAGNUAGAACNAGUAACCNGUCUGAAACNGNNACNAGCUGGACAUUAGANAANACAAGGUU